rnacentral:rRNA from 1 species
GAUGAACGCUGGCGGCGUGCCUAAUACAUGCAAGUCGAGCGAACGGACGAGAAGCUUGCUUCUCUGAUGUUAGCGGCGGACGGGUGAGUAACACGUGGAUAACCUACCUAUAAGACUGGGAUAACUUCGGGAAACCGGAGCUAAUACCGGAUAAUAUUUUGAACCGCAUGGUUCAAAAGUGAAAGACGGUCUUGCUGUCACUUAUAGAUGGAUCCGCGCUGCAUUAGCUAGUUGGUAAGGUAACGGCUUACCAAGGCAACGAUGCAUAGCCGACCUGAGAGGGUGAUCGGCCACACUGGAACUGAGACACGGUCCAGACUCCUACGGGAGGCAGCAGUAGGGAAUCUUCCGCAAUGGGCGAAAGCCUGACGGAGCAACGCCGCGUGAGUGAUGAAGGUCUUCGGACCGUAAAACUCUGUUAUUAGGGAAGAACAUAUGUGUAAGUAACUGUGCACAUCUUGACGGUACCUAAGCAGAAAGCCACGGCUAACUACGU